rnacentral:rRNA from 1 species
GAUAAACGCUGGCGGUGUGCUUUAUGCAUGCAAGUCGAACGAGUCAUUUCGGUGAUUAGUGGCAGACGGGUGAGUAACACGUAAGUAACCUGCCCUUAAGUGGGGAACAACUCUGAGAAAUCGGAGCUAAUACCGCAUGUGGUGGUGGGGCAAAUGUUCCAUCACUAAAGCCGUAAGGCGCUUGAGGAGGGGCUUGCGUCCGAUUAGCUAGUUGGUGAGGUAAUGGCCCACCAAGGCCGCGAUCGGUAGCUGGUCUGAGAGGACGACCAGCCACACGGGGGACUGAGACACGGCCCCGACUCCUACGGGAGGCAG